CAGUAGCCGCGGUAAUACAGAGGGUGCGAGCGUUAAUCGGAUUUACUGGGCGUAAAGCGUGCGUAGGCGGCUUCUUAAGUCGGAUGUGAAAUCCCUGAGCUUAACUUAGGAAUUGCAUUCGAUACUGGGAAGCUAGAGUAUGGGAGAGGAUGGUAGAAUUCCAGGUGUAGCGGUGAAAUGCGUAGAGAUCUGGAGGAAUACCGAUGGCGAAGGCAGCCAUCUGGCCUAAUACUGACGCUGAGGUACGAAAGCAUGGGGAGCAAACAGGAUUAGAUACCCCAGUAGUCCCUGUCUCUUAUAU
rnacentral:rRNA from 1 species